CCUGGGCAGUUUCCAUGGCAACGCCUCCAUGCCUGCCGUAGCAGCUACGUGCUGCCUGGCAUGUGCACUCUGCCAGGUCCCUGGAGGGCACUGCUGUCUCUCACUUGCUCAGGGUUCAGGAGUUGUUAAUCCCGGAUUCAGAUAAUAAUAUCCAAAGGCAAUCAGGGGACAUUGAACCAGCUGGAGCUGAAGGCUCCUCUCUGUGGGCCUUGGAAGGAGGGGCCUCUGCAUUCCUCCGCCUGCCAUAGGCUGGGCCUGCAGCAAGUGCUCAACUACAGUGGGAAGAAUGGCUGAGUGAAGGAGAGACCCUCCCAGACUACAGUAAGUUCCUCUGCUGAUAGAGGUGAGAGAAAAGCAGAGCCUGGAGUGGAGGAAGGGUAGGCCUUCCCCCAAAUUAUAGAGGACACACAUUGAUCAUCAGAUUGCUUUUAAGAGCCUCGCCUCUUUACUCCUCCCACACCAAGUGUUUGCUGCUCCCUUUCAACUGCAAACCACCAGUACUAAGACAUCAGUAACCAAGUGUCACCUCUCCCAGGGUGCUGUGCUCCCCUCCCUCUGCAGAACCCUCCUUCCAAAUCCCCCUGCCCCACUCCCCACACCCACUUUGAGAGGCAUGCAGCCAUGGACCACUGAGAGUGGGAUUUCAAACACGAGUGAUGAAAGUGAUGUUAGGAAAGAGGAGGAGCUACAGUGGAGUCCUGCAAAGUAUUUGCCAUCACAGCCUGCAGCAUCUUUAAACACAUAACCUCAGUGUCUCCUUCCCUUGAGGGUAGCUAUCACCAUUGGAAAGAGCAAACAAAUCUUGGGAACAAGAUGCAAACAAAUAACAAAGAAGGAGGAGGAGAAUCAAUAUGGAUUGGUUCACAGGACCCACAGCAGAGGGACAGCUGGGUCUUUGAGUGAAGAGCUAAACAGUGGUGAUGUCUGAAUGGUCUUGAGUUUUCAGGAGCAUCUUUCAUUCUAAAGAAGCAACCCUUGAUGGGCUCCUGGACAGCUUCAGGGUGGAAGCCGGUCACCAAAAAGCCCAAGCCGUGAUUAGAAGCUUGGAACUUUCAGCCACACCCCACCCCUAUCCUCCAGGAAAGAAGAGGGGCUAGAGGUUGAAUUAAUAACCAUUCAUGCCUUCUUGAUUAAGCCUAAUAAAAGUCGCCAAAGUACAGGGUUCAGAGACCUGGGUUGGUGAACACAUCUAUGUGCCAGGAAGGUGGUGUGCCCUGACUCACUGGAGACAGAAGCUCCUGCAAUCAGACCCUUCCAGACCUCACCCUGUGUACCUCUUCAUUUGCCUGUUCAUCUGUAUUCAUUAUCAUAUCCUUUAUAAUAAGCCAAUAAACAUAAGUCUCUCUCCAAGUUCUGUGAGUAUAAUUUGUCAGAGCAAAUUAUCA
rnacentral:lncRNA from 10 species